rnacentral:rRNA from 1 species
UACGUAGGGUGCAAGCGUUGUCCGGAAUCAUUGGGCGUAAAGCGCGUGUAGGCGGCCCGGUAAGUCCGCUGUGAAAGUCGGGGGCUCAACCCUCGGAUGCCGGUGGAUACUGUCGGGCUUGAGUACGGAAGAGGCGAGUGGAAUUCCUGGUGUAGCGGUGAAAUGCGCAGAUAUCAGGAGGAACACCAAUUGCGAAGGCAGCUCGCUGGGACGUUACUGACGCUGAGACGCGAAAGCGUGGGGAGCAAACAGG